GACGAACGCUGGCGGCGUGCCUAAUACAUGCAAGUAGAACGCUGAAGGAGGAGCUUGCUUCUCCGGAUGAGUUGCGAACGGGUGAGUAACGCGUAGGUAACCUGCCUGGUAGCGGGGGAUAACUAUUGGAAACGAUAGCUAAUACCGCAUAAGAGUAGAUGUCGCAUGACAUUUGCUUAAAAGGUGCAACUGCACCACUACCAGAUGGACCUGCGUUGUAUUAGCUAGUUGGUGAGGUAACGGCUCACCAAGGCAACGAUACAUAGCCGACCUGAGAGGGUGAUCGGCCACACUGGGACUGAGACACGGCCCAGACUCCUACGGGAGGCAGCAGUAGGGAAUCGUCGGCAAUGGACGGAAGUCUGACCGAGCAACGCCGCGUGAGUGAAGAAGGGUUUCGGAUCGUAAAGCUCGGUUGUAAGAGAAGAACGAGUGUGAGAGUGGAAAGUUCACACUGUGACGGUAUCUUACCAGAAAGGGACGGCUAACUACGUG
rnacentral:rRNA from 1 species